rnacentral:rRNA from 1 species
GAAAUUUAACGGAUUUGGCGGCAAGAUAGCCCCUUAGAGGAACCUGCCCUGUAAACGAUGAACCACGAGGGACUCUACUUUCUUUGGUAGAUCAGUUUGUAUAUCGCUGUUGUCAGUUAGAUUCUUGAGAAUAUUUUCGUCUAUGAAAAGUUCAUUGACUUCAAGUAAAGGUGCAGCUUAUAAGGAAGAUAGAGGUGGGUUACAUUUAUGAGAAUAAAACGGAAAGGAUGGAUGAAACAAUCCUUGAAGGUGGAUUUAACUGUAAAACUUAAGUAGGUUUGGUGAGAGCUCUAUCUUGUGUACACACCGCCCGUC